rnacentral:rRNA from 1 species
GAAUGUGCCUUCGGGAACCGUGAGACAGGUGCUGCAUGGCUGUCGUCAGCUCGUGUUGUGAAAUGUUGGGUUAAGUCCCGCAACGAGCGCAACCCUUAUCCUUUGUUGCCAGCGGUCCGGCCGGGAACUCAAAGGAGACUGCCAGUGAUAAACUGGAGGAAGGUGGGGAUGACGUCAAGUCAUCAUGGCCCUUACGACCAGGGCUACACACGUGCUACAAUGGCGCAUACAAAGAGAAGCGACCUCGCGAGAGCAAGCGGACCUCAUAAAGUGCGUCGUAGUCCGGAUUGGUGUCUGCAACUCGACUCCAUGAAGUCGGAAUCGCUAGUAAUCGUGGAUCAGAAUGCCACGGUGAAUACGUU